rnacentral:rRNA from 1 species
GGCAUGGGAUGGGGUCGCGUCCUAUCAGCUUGUUGGCGGGGUGAUGGCCUGCCAAGGCUUCGACGGGUAGCCGGCCUGAGAGGGCGACCGGCCACAUUGGGACUGAGAUACGGCCCAGACUCCUACGGGAGGCAGCAGUGGGGAAUAUUGCACAAUGGGCGAAAGCCUGAUGCAGCGACGCCGCGUGCGGGAUGACGGCCUUCGGGUUGUAAACCGCUUUUGAUUGGGAGCAAGCGAGAGUGAGUGUACCUUUCGAAUAAGCACCGGCUAACUACGUGCCAGCAGCCGCGGUAAUACGUAGGGUGCAAGCGUUAUCCGGAUUUAUUGGGCGUAAAGGGCUCGUAGGCGGUUCGUCGCGUCUGGUGUGAAAGUCCAUCGCUUAACGGUGGAUCGGCGCCGGGUACGGGCGGACUGGAGUGCGGUAGGGGAGACUGGAAUUCC